AUGUUCCCCAUGUUCCAAGAGCUUGCACCACAUGACCCACACGACAAGUGUGGUCACCACUAUGCGAUCUGUCUUGACCUGAAGAACCAACGUGUUGAGGUGCUUGAUUCAAUCCGUUCGGAAGAGGAUGCAGACCUUACCACGCAUGCUGAAUUCUCCAUUAAGAACCUCAAAGAGACAUGGCACCAUCACUACGAACACUCAAAGGUCCAGAUCUGGCAUUUCCCGACCGAGUAUGUGGCGACUGCGAAGCAAGGGAACACGACAGACUGUGGCUUUCACGCUGGAGUACCUUGCAAAGUGGGAAGGCAGAAUUGUCCCCGCUAUCACAGCUGCAACGGUCGUUGA
rnacentral:rRNA from 1 species